rnacentral:rRNA from 1 species
GACGAACGCUGGCGGCGUGCUUAACACAUGCAAGUCGAACGAUGAAGCCGGAGCUUGCUCUGGUGAAUUAGUGGCGAACGGGUGAGUAACACGUGAGUAACCUGCCCUUGACUCUGGGAUAACUGCGGGAAACUGUAGCUAAUACCGGAUACGACCCUCGGAGGCAUCUCCUGGGGGUGGAAAGAAUUUCGGGCAAGGAUGGACUCGCGGCCUAUCAGCUAGUUGGUGAGGUAACGGCGCACCAAGGCGACGACGGGUAGCCGGCCUGAGAGGGUGACCGGCCACACUGGGACUGAGACACGGCCCAGACUCCUACGGGAGGCAGCAGUGGGGAAUAUUGCACAAUGGGCGCAAGCCUGAUGCAGCAACGCCGCGUGAGGGAUGACGGCCUUCGGGUUGUAAACCUCUUUUAGUAGGGAAGAAGCGAAAGUGACGGUACCUGCAGAAAAAGCACCGGCUAACUACGUGCCAGCCGCCGCAGUAA